rnacentral:rRNA from 1 species
AGAAUCAACGCUGGCGGCGCGCUUAACACAUGCAAGUCGAACGAGAAAGGGUAGCAAUACCUGAGUAAAGUGGCGCACGGGUGAGUAACACGUGAAUGAUCUACCUCCGAGUGGGGAAUAACUGAGAGAAAUCUUAGCUAAUACCGCAUAACACUUACGAGUCAAAGCAGCAAUGCGCUUGGAGAGGAGUUCGCGGCCGAUUAGUUAGUUGGCGGGUAAUGGCCCACCAAGACGAUGAUCGGUAU